GGCUCUUUGGACAGCCAUUAAUAUCUUCCACUUUUUCAUUUGCUGUACAGAGAAGCAGGAGAGACAAGUCAGUGACGCAGAUUAUCUCAGGCUUCAUGACAGACACUUAAAUAUGCCUUGUGGUCUUUUGUGACCUUAGAAGACCAUAACAAAGUCCAUUGUGUCGGUAGAACAUUGCAUCUGUGUUUCUGAAUCCUCAAUGAGAUUCAAAAGAAAACAAAAGGUAAAGCCUAAGUGAACAACCACAUCAAACCCUUAGUGGUUUUUUGAGCCUGGAAAAUCUGACUCAUUACUCUGAAUUCCAUCCUGCAUUCAAAAGAAACUCCCUAGAUGCUUGGCUUAAAUAUCAAGUGAUUGGUAAAUAGCAAAGGAUUUAAAUCUUGCCACUCAAAGCAGGGUAGCAAAGCUUGUCAGCGGAGACAUAAGAAAGAGGAAUCCCAGAAAACAGAAGAAUCUCAGAAAAAAAGAAGAAUCCCAGAGAAAGAAGAAAGAAGACUGUGGAAGACAGUGGAAAAACAGCUGGUCAAGCCAGUCCCCACAAUGAACAAAGUUGUCCUUUUCAGAAAAACGUCUGAUCAGUCUGAAAGACUGCGGGUUCAAAGCAUCUGAUUCAACAUAGAAGACAGCAGGGAGAAGGCAAAGAGCUUUUGAACAAGUGGGGUUUCAGGUUUGUUUGUUGCAACCGUCCUCACCAAACAGUCAAGCACUAGGCUAGUGGCCAAACACAUACAGUCCAGAACUAGGCCCGUGGACAAAAGCAUACAGUAUUCUUUGGAAUUAGGCUUGGUAGUCUUCCACGGUGUGCAUCUGUCAGACAGCCCUUGCUCUGGUUUCUUGCCAUUUUCCCUGGACCAAGUCCAUUGGUUGGGCCUACUGUAGCUUUUCUUACCCAGGUUUCCUUGGGACCUACUGUAUAACAUACUGAUGUACUACUGUACAUUGAUUGCUAUAUGUAGGUUUCUCUUUUACUUUGGUGUCUUGCACUCAUUGUUUUAUUUGUUCUUUUUACUGCUUUGUUUACUACCGUCUGUCUGGCAGAGCUAGAGUAGUAUACUACAUUGCUAGGAAAGUUAGUUGCACAGAUCUCCAGUCACAUAAACUGUUGCUAGGAAUAGUAGAGGUUUGUUGUAGAUAAGUGGAUGGUACAUACUACUCCUUACAUGUAGCCAUUGUGAGAGGCUUUUGUUGCUGUGUUUUUCUCACUGCAGGUCCUGGUGUAAGCAGCAAAAUACAAAUGGAGAACAGCAGCCUUAACUCUAUGUCAUUUUGGACACACAAUCACAUGUGUGAAGGUGUAUAGGUCCAUUGACUGAUGUGCCAAUUCUCUGUAUCAGCUACAACAAACGAGAUACUGUCAUAUGGUGUGAGAUUUAUGUACCUCUUCCCAAUCUGAUACCUUGGGCACACCAUUCUAGUUUCCACUAGUUAUUCAUCUCUCUUUCCCGAGCAGCAUUGGUUACCGCGGGGAGAUGUACUAGCGCAUAUAGCUCUUCCUGCUUCACCUCAUGGUGUUGAGGAGAGAAAUCUCCUCCCUCCGGCAAUCCGUGCAAGACCCACAGUGUAUCAGCAGAAGGCUUACCUCCCGUUGGACCACACUGCACAUGUGUAAGAUCUCAGAAACAUCGCAAGAUCUCAUAUGCAGGCCGGACCCCACAGAAGCCGUCCUAGGUUUGCACACAUACCGGCAGGUAAUCCUGACGAUAUGUAAAAAAAAACAACAACAACUUGGUAAGCCACAAAAGUGUGCUUUAUGUUUUUAAAUAAGAUCUGUAUGAUUUUCUGUCAUCAUACAAUCGUAUGGCAAUGGUGAUAUUGUUAGCUGUUUGCAGUUAUCUGCUUUCAUACAUACCAAGGUUCAUUAAGUGUCUAAUAACGCUGGUAUAAAUCAUUUGACACUUCCCACCUCUUCUUAGUACAUCUCCCCUCAUAUAACCAGGGCUUAAAGUGGUCCUGGAGAGGUGGUGGAACUCAUUUACCUGGACACUGCCUCCCCUUCUCACACACACAUUAUGCGUAAAUUAACUGUAAAUGAGUACCCUAAAGACCAUACUAAAGGGACAUUGAUCUCACAAAGAAGUAGCGUGGUCACAUAAUAGUACCCCAAUUCAAAUGACCCCAUACAGGGGAUACAAUCUUUUUCACAUUAUACCACAUAGUAAUGUCCCUUAUUCAGGUUAUGUCACACAGUAGUGCCCUUUAUUCACAUUGCACUACACCAUGGUACCCUCUAAACAUGUUAUGCCACACAGUAGUGCUCAACAGUAAUAUGAACGCCGCCUGUAUCAUCUAAUGCUGUAGAUGAUAGCGCAGGUUUUCCCGUUGGAAUUACUGUGCAGGGUAAUGGAGGUGGAGGAACUAGUUCCCCCUACCAUUACCGGUGGUGGAACGGAGUUCCACCUCGUUCCCCCUCACUUUAACCCCUGCAUAUAACACAUCUCCAUGUUUUAACUUUUAAAACGUCUUGUCUUGCAUCAAGAUCACAGGUGUACAUUACAAGAUUAGAAUACCUGGAAAACUUACACAUAAGGCCUGUUCAACUCUGUGCAAAAAAUAAUGUUCCUAAAAUUAGCUUUCCACUUAAUUACCUGUGCUGAAAUGAAAGAGAAAGGCAUUUUUAUGACCUGUUUAUUCAUUUAUUCCAGGUUGCUGUAGUAGGCAAAUACUGUAAGUGUAAUCUUUAUGGAUGUUGCAUCCACCUCUUUUUCUGUACCUCAUUUCUGCAUCUCCCAGAGGGUGGGUAUCUGCAGUAUAGUCGGAAAAUCUGGAUUUAAAUGCAGUUUUAAAUGACGUGUGUCCUUAGCAAAUCUCGGUAUGCCAGGUCCCGUGCUACUCAGCUGCACGUCUUUUUUAUUCAAAAUGUGCAUUAUAUUUGAACAAUUAAAACACAUGAGUGAAUAAAUUUCAUUGCUAGUAUACUGUACAUUGAUCAAAGGGGUGUGCGACAUUUGUACAUCUGUGUGCGACUCAGUCUGAAUCUGUGUAAUAAGGGCUCCCAUGCAAGCGGCCACAGCUUUUCCCCACACCAGGUUCCAUUGUACUUCAUCUGCGACUUUGUACAUGUGUAAAAUAAAUUCCUGUGUUAAAAGUCGUAACGCAACUUCUCCUGUACACUGUGUCUGCAAAUUAGAUGCAUCAUUUAAAAAAACACAUGGUACGCUACUCCUCUUAGAGCAUCUCUAUUGCGUCAGUUGUCUCACGCUGUAUGGUGUAUGGAUGCCCCAUAAGUGAGGACACAUCCCUACCUUUAUAAACAGCCAUGUAUUCCAGCAAUAGCUGCCUAUAAAGUAAUCUGAAAUACAGAGUAAUUUAAAAAUGGGUUUGUGAAUAAAAAAUAAAUCCUCAUUUUCCUACCUACUUUCAAUAGUCCGUUUACACAUACAGUUAAUGAUUUAAGAACAGCAGUUAAUG